AAAGUCGUAACAAGGUCUCCGUUGGUGAACCAGCGGAGGGAUCAUUACAGAGUUGCAAAACUCCCAUACCAUUGUGAACGAUACCCGUACCGUUGCUUCGGCGGGCCUGGCUCGCCGCCCGCCGGACGACAUACAAAACUCUUGUCUCACACAGGCCUCUCUGAGAACUUAUACAAAUGAGUCAAAACUUUCAACAACGGAUCUCUUGGUUCUG
rnacentral:misc_RNA from 1 species